rnacentral:rRNA from 1 species
UACGUAGGGGGCAAGCGUUGUCCGGAUUUAUUGGGCGUAAAGAGCGUGUAGGCGGCCCCGAUAAGUCCGCUGUGAAAGUCCAGGGCUCAACCCUGGGAUGCCGGUGGAUACUGUCGGGCUCGAGUCCGGAAGAGGAGUGUGGAAUUCCUGGUGUAGCGGUGAAAUGCGUAGAGAUCAGGAAGAACAUCGGUGGCGAAGGCGCUCUGCUGGACCUAACUGACACUCAGGGACGAAAAGCUAGGGGGAGCGAAUGGG